rnacentral:rRNA from 1 species
AUGUGCGGCCAUUUGCUUCGAACUCCACUAGUGGUGAUUCCCCAUUGGCUAACUUUGCAAAGAGAGGUGAUGCUGGAGAAAAUUGAUGUCAUUGCAAGAUCCAGGCAUCCCAAAAUACACAUGCCAAAUCCAUGUCUCCUAAUCGACAACGGCCUCAAGAAUUAUGGUGGCAUCUUUCUUGUGUCCUUUGAACUACCAUGCCAUGCUAUAGAGAGAAGUUCUCUGACUUCCAGUGCAUGCAAUCAGUGGAUCCAAGCAAACCUGGAAACUCAAAGGCUUUGUUCAUCUCCAAAAGCAUCGACGUGCCUUCAGCAUUGGGUGCUCUCAAAUACUCUACCCUAA